rnacentral:rRNA from 1 species
GUGCCAGCCGCCGCGGUAAUACGUAGGGCGCAAGCGUUAUCCGGAAUUAUUGGGCGUAAAGAGCUCGUAGGCGGUUUGUCGCGUCUGCUGUGAAAUCCCGAGGCUCAACCUCGGGUCUGCAGUGGGUACGGGCAGACUAGAGUGCGGUAGGGGAGAUUGGAGUUCCCGGUGUAGCGGUGGAAUGCGCAGGUAUCAGGAGGAACACCGAUGGCGAAGGCAGAUCUCUGGGCCGUAACUGACGCUGAGGAGCGAAAGGGUGGGGAGCAACCAGGCUUAGAUACCCUGGUAGUCCACCCCGUAAACGUUGGGAACUAGUUGUGGGGUCCAUUCCACGGAUUCCGUGACGCAGCUAACGCAUUAAGUUCCCCGCCUGGGGAGUACGGCCGCAAGGCUAAAACUCAAAGGAAUUGACGGGGACCCGCACAAGCGGCGGAGCAUGCGGAUUAAUUCGAUGCAACGCGAAGAACCUUACCAAGGCUUGACAUAUACGAGAACGCUGCAGAAAUGUAGAACUCUUUGGACACUCGUAAACAGGUGGUGCAUGGUUGUCGUCAGCUCGUGUCGUGAGAUGUUGGGUUAAGUCCCGCAACGAGCGCAACCCUCGUUCUAUGUUGCCAGCACGUAAUGGUGGGAACUCAUGGGAUACUGCCGGGGUCAACUCGGAGGAAGGUGGGGAUGACGUCAAUCAUCAUGCCCCUUAUGUCUUGGGCUUCACGCAUGCUACAAUGGCCGGUACAAAGGGCUGCAAUA